AUUUAUUAACAUUCGAUUAAAAAAGUGUUUUCGCACAAUUGCGAGAAGAAAGAGGAAUCGUGUAUUCAAUUCUCGACGAAUUUCCAACGAGAUAAAUAUCACGGAAUGUUGGUACUGGAAAGAAUACGGUGCAAGUCCGAGGGUAGAUUUAUUUCCGACAUAAACGACGGUACUCGAAUUUGCCUGGGAGCUGAUUACGUUCACGAGGUGACGCUAGAAAUAUAGAAUAGGCAUGCGCUCGCAGGUAGACGGUCGAAGGUGCGCCGUCAUAAAUCUGCCAAGAAACUCACCCCUUGGCCGAUGGAGACGAGCCUCUGGCACUAUAUGCACAACGACGAUGAACGCUUGAAGCAUCAGUGGAUAACGCAUGGUUGCGGUCAGGCCAAUCAAUUUACGAGAUUAUGACGUUGUUGACGAAGAAUUACGUUCUCA